rnacentral:lncRNA from 1 species
UACGAUCAAUUCUCCAGUUCGAGGACCCUUCAGCCAUCAUCGAACUCGGGAAAAUGGAGCAAAAUCAGAGUGCAAGUACGAAGGGGGAUAUAAGUUUAUGUCAACCAGUUUUUUACACUUGAAAUGCUACAGUAUGACAAGACUUGAACUACUGGGAACUGUUAGAAGAUUAGCUUACAAACAACAUCCAUCACCAGCUUAGGCUAUUUCCAGGUUCAGCAUUUAUACAGAACAGAAAACCCCGGCCGGUUCUUUGUCUAACCCUCCCUUCUUUGUCUAAAGUGUUCGAAGUGGUAAAGUAGGAAAAUAUUAGGUUCUUUGUCUAACCCUCCUUUCGUUGGUAUCACCGCCAUCCGAGAGUUGAGCCCAUACGCUCCGCGACUUCCCACCUCCGCUGCUACAAUCCUCCUCGCACCCAGCCACCGUCUUCAGCAGCUCCGACUGCAGAGUCGGGCAAUUCUCCUUUAGGUAUUCAAAUCC